AGAGAGGGUGCGUCUGCGAUGCAUUAUGGUCAGUGUAGUGGAUAAAAUGGUAUUAUUCAACUACUCCCAUUUAUCCCAAUGAUUUAUAUUCAGUGAACGGUAAUAACAACAAUGUUGUAAUUACAGUUCACUGUUUAUAAUUGAAAAUGAAAAAAGAUACGAUUAGAGGGUCAGCAAAAAACGAUGUACAUGUUGUAUGAGUUCAUGCUACGUAAUUGAUCGCUGAAUACGAAAACUUUUUUCUGCACUCGUCAAAAGCAGCAUGGACAAACAAAAUAGUUGGAGAGGGCAGCAGAAAAGUCUAAAUUUAAACAGCUCGAAUGGAAAAAUAAAAUAUGUUACUUAGGAAAUGCAUGAUGAUCAUCCAUUGUUAGAAGAAUGUGUUGAGUCAAACAUCACUCUUGAACAACCGUUGCAUCUGAUUUCCCAGAAUAUUGAUGAAACUAUCACCGCUGAUGUCGACAAAUCUCAACCUGAUGAAAAAAAUAUUGCAACUGUUUUGUAUUAUACUGGAUUAUUGCUUCAAUUUUCUGCAGUAACAAAUUUGGGGGAACAUCAAUCAUUUGCUAUUCUUGACUAUAAUGUGGAGAAAA